rnacentral:rRNA from 1 species
UAAGGAAUAUUGCGCAACGGGGGAAACCCUGACGCAGCAACGCCGCGUGGAGGAUGACACUUUUCGGAGCGUAAACUCCUUUUAUCAGGAAAGAAUAAUGACGGUACCUGAUGAAUAAGCACCGGCUAACUCCGUGCCAGCAGCCGCGGUAAUACGGGGGGUGCAAGCGUUACUCGGAAUCACUGGGCGUAAAGGACGCGUAGGCGGAUUAUCAAGUCUUUUGUGAAAUCUAGUGGCUUAACCACUAAACUGCUUAGGAAACUGAUAGUCUAGAGUAGGGGAGAGGUAGAUGGAAUUCUUGGUGUAGGGGUAAAAUCCGUAGAGAUCAAGAAGAAUACCCAUUGCGAAAGCGAUCUGCUGGAACCUAACUGACGCUGAGGCGUGAAAGCGUGGGUAGCAAACAGG